AUUGAACGCUGGCGGCAGGCUUAACACAUGCAAGUCGAGCGGGGUGAUGGUGCUUGCACUAUCACUUAGCGGCGGACGGGUGAGUAAUGCUUAGGAAUCUGCCUAUUAGUGGGGGACAACAUCUCGACAGGGAUGCUAAUACCGCAUACGUCCUACGGGAGAAAGCAGGGGAUCACUUGUGACCUUGCGCUAAUAGAUGAGCCUAGGUCGGAUUAGCUAGUUGGUGGGGUAAAGGCCUACCAAGGCGACGAUCUGUAGCGGGUCUGAGAGGAUGAACCGCCACACUGGGACUGAGACACGGCCCAGACUCCUACGGGAGGCAGCAGUGGGGAAUAUUGGACAAUGGGGGGAACCCUGAUCCAGCCAUGCCGCGUGUGUGAAGAAGGCCUUAUGGUUGUAAAGCACUUUAAGCGAGGAGGAGGCUCUUUUGGUUAAUACCCAAGAUGAGUGGACGUUACUCGCAGAAUAAGCACCGGCUAACUCUGUGCCAGCAGCCGCCGUAA
rnacentral:rRNA from 1 species